rnacentral:ncRNA from 1 species
UAAGAUAAAUAAAUAUAGUUUAGGGAAUUUAUUAUUUAUUUAUUUUACAUAUAAAUUUUAGUAAUUAAUAUUGAUUAUUUAAAUAAUAAUUAAUUUAAUUAUGUAGUAAUUAAUAUUAAUUAUAUAAGAAAUUAUGAUUUAGUAAUAUAAAAAUUAUUAACAAAUUUUGUGCCAGCAGUUUCGGUUAUACAAAAGAUAAUUUAAAUUUUUUUAGUGAUUAAUUAAUUAUUUAAAUUAUUUUUAUUUAAAUAAAAUUAUUAAGUGAAAUUUUAAUUUUAUAUAUUAAAAAUUUCAUGAUUUAAAAAAUUUUUAAAUAAACUAGGAUUAGAUACCCUAUUAUUGAAAAAUUAAAUAACAAUACUAAAAUAGUAAAUAAUAAUUUAUUUAAACUUAAAUAAUUUGGCGGUAUUUUAGUUUAUUUAGAGGAAUCUGUCUAUUAAUCGAUAAUCCACGAAUAAAUUUACUUAAUUUAAAAAUUUAUAUAUCGUUGUUAAAAAAAUGUCUUAUUAAAGUAAUAAUAUUUAAAAAUAAUAAUUAAAAAUUAAAUCAGAUCAAGAUGUAGUUUAUAAUUAAGAAUAUGAUGGAUUACAAUAAAUUUAUUUAAAUGAAUAUUAAUUUUUAAUAAUUAAUUGAAAUUGGAUUUAAAUGUAAUUUUAUUUAGUUUAAUAAAAUGAUUAAUAAUUAAAAUAUGUACAUAUUGCCCGUCACUUUCAUUUAUAAAUUGAAAUAAGUCGUAACAAAGUAGGGGUACUGGAAAGUGUUCCUAGAAAGAA